AAUGCAUGUCUACUUAACUGGGGGAUUCACCGCAAAUACUACUUUGGCUCAUUAUCGCUAAAAAUUCAGUUUUUUUAUUUUUUUCUUACAAAUUGGAUUUGUUUCAUACAUUUAUCUAGGAGAAAAUCCUUAUCCAGAAUGAUUGGGCGUAAAGCGUCUGUAGGUGGCUUUUUUCAAGUCCAGCGUCAUAUCCCAGGGCUCAACCCUGCACAAGCGGUGGAAACUACCAAGCUGGAGUACGGUAGGGGCAGAGGGAAUUUCUGGUGGAGCAGUGAAAUGCAUUGAGAUCGUAAAGAACACCAAUGGCGAAAGCACUCGGCUGGGCCGACACUAACACUGAGAGGCGAAAGCUAGUGGAGCAAAUGGGAUUAGAGACCCCAGUAGUCCUAGCCGUAAACGAUGGAUACUAGGUGUUGUUCGACUCGACCCAUGCAGUGCUCUAGCUAAUGUGUUAAGUAUCCCGCCU
rnacentral:rRNA from 1 species